UACGUAGGCAGCAAGCGUUGUUCGGAGUUACUGGGCGUAAAGGGUGCGUAGGCGGCUUUUUAAGUUUGGUGUGAAAUCUCCCGGCUCAACUGGGAGGGUGCGCCGAAUACUGAGAGGCUAGAGUGUGGGAGAGGAAAGUGGAAUUCCUGGUGUAGCGGUGAAAUGCGCAGAUAUCAGGAGGAACACCGGUGGCGAAGGCGGUGGGCUGGGCCGGCACUGACGCUGAGGAGCGAAAGCGUGGGGAGCGAACAGG
rnacentral:rRNA from 1 species